UGUCCAUACUGCCCGCUGACGUCUGGA
rnacentral:sRNA from 1 species